rnacentral:misc_RNA from 1 species
GAACGCACAUUGCGCCCGCCAGUAUUCUGGCGGGCAUGCCUGUCCGAGCGUCAUUUCAACCCUCGAACCCCUCCGGGGGGGUCGGCGUUGGGGAUCGGCCCUUUACGGGGCCGGCCCCGAAAUACAGUGGCGGUCUCGCCGCAGCCUCUCCUGCGCAGUAGUUUGCACACUCGCAUCGGGAGCGCGGCGCGUCCAAUGCCGUAAAACACCCAACUUUCUGAAAUGUUGACCUCGGAUCAGGUAGGAAUACCCGCUGAACUUAAG